GGAAUUUUGGACAAUGGGCGCAAGCCUGAUCCAGCAAUGCCGCGUGCAGGAUGAAGGCCUUCGGGUUGUAAACUGCUUUUGUACGGAACGAAAAGCCUGGGGCUAAUAUCCCUGGGUCAUGACGGUACCGUAAGAAUAAGCACCGGCUAACUACGUGCCAGCAGCCGCGGUAAUACGUAGGGUGCAAGCGUUAAUCGGAAUUACUGGGCGUAAGGCGUGCGCAGGCGGUUAUGUAAUACAGAGGUGAAAUCCCCGGGCUCAACCUGGGAACUGCCUUUGUGACUGCAUGGCUAGAGUGCGGCAGAGGGGGAUGGAAUUCCGCGUGUAGCAGUGAAAUGCGUAGAUAUGCGGAGGAACACCGAUGGCGAAGGCAAUCCCCUGGGCCUGCACUGACGCUCAUGCACGAAAGCGUGGGGAGC
rnacentral:rRNA from 1 species